GCUAGAGCUGUAAGGGAGGAGUGGGCAAAUUUCCAGAGAUAGUGGGACAACAACAUCAGAGCUCAGGGAGGUUCUGUUUACACUCGGAUCUGCUGAAGAGCAGGGAAUUCCUGGCAGAGGACUAAAAAACACAGCAAAAGGCAUCUUCCUGGACAUUCUUUCAUGUGCCCCGCCGUGUGACUGAGGGUCAUUGGAUGCCACCGUUGGGAAACGAGCCUGAUGGACAAAUUUCUGAUUGUGGCUGUCAUUCUGUGCCUGCAGGCCCUGGACUUCUCUGCGAGCUCAGAGGAAGCUGGAGGAGGCCACUAGGCCCUGUAAUAACCACACUUCUCCAUGAUAAACAAGAACCAGAUUCCUGAGCAGUGACGCAGGCAGAGCACUGGCUGGGGCAGCUGUGAUUACACCAAGUGAUCAAAGCAGCAGAAAUAAUACCACUUAGAGCAUCGCCAAGAGGACCGGACGAGAUGAUACAGAUGAAAGCACCUGCUGUGUAAUAACAGCUCACCUUCUCGGAAGCCACUUACCAUGCGUCAGGCCUCAAGUCCUGUUGCUAUCCAAAACUGGACUGUCGAUGGACAAAGCCUCUUUCUUUUGCAAUAUUUUGUUGGCU